GCCGCUUUAGCUCAGUUGGCAGAGCAACUGAUUUGUAAUCAGUAGGUCGUCCGUUCGAAUCGGACAAGCGGCACCA
rnacentral:tRNA from 1 species